GACGAACGCUGGCGGCGUGCCUAAUACAUGCAAGUCGAGCGCAGCGUCGGAUGGGUGAGUAAAGCGUGGGUACCCUGCCCUUAAGUCUUGGCUACCAUUUGGAAACAGAUGCAAAUACGGGAUAAUAAAGGAUGGACAUGCGAUGCAUUAGCUAGUUGGUAAGGUAACGGCUUACCAAGUAGAGGAGGCAUAGCCGAUUUGAGAGACUGAUCGGCCACAUUGGGACUGAGACACGGCCCAAACUCCUACGGGAGGCAGCAGUAGGGAAUCUUCCACAAUGGACGAAAGUCUGAUGGAGCAACGCCGCGUGAGUGAAGAAGGUUUUCGGAUCGUAAAGCUCUGUUGUUGGUGAAGCGGUAAUCAACCAGAAAGUCACGGCUAACUACGUGCCAGCCGCCGCGGUAAUAC
rnacentral:rRNA from 1 species